rnacentral:lncRNA from 1 species
GGCAAGUUCCCCAUCGUGGUCUGGGUUACUGGUUUCAGGCUUAGCAUAGGGACUUGCCAAGACUGAGUCACGGACAUCAUUUCCUGUGGUAAUCUGACCAUCUUUUGCAGGUCUCUGUCAAAUACUGUGGGUUUAGCCCUUUGCUAGCAAAUUCCAACAGAGUAGGCAUUUUCACACACACACUCACUGGGGAGAAUAAACACAAUGGAGGCAAAGCCAACAGUAUGUCCUGAAAGAUUACCUGAAUUAAGUGCAAAAGGAGGUUGUUUGAGGUGGAGUGAUACUACAUUUCAGCUGUUUUCCUUUGCCUCUAUAAGGUUCUGUGUUGCAAUGAGCCUCUUCUGAAAUGUCUUGGCAGAGAGAUAAUGAAAACUCCCCCAUUCCCACGUGUUGUGGGGAACAUCCAGCAUUUGGCUUUUUCUGCACACCAGAUCAGAGACUGUGAACACUCCCUACUAGCGUGAGAGCUGCCCUGAUGCAGUCUUCUGUACAAGAAGAAGGCUGUAUUCAUAGCCAUAUCUGUAACAUGAACUCUUGGUAGGGAAGAGUAAUACUGUGGCAGAAACAAUGAACUGACGAGGGAGAGCCAGUCCUGGAAUUGCAGAGGAAGGCUGGACAUGCUGCCCAAUGGGCUGGAGACUGUUUCAAAAAAGCUGCUGCUACGUGUUAGCUGAUGAGAUGUCCUCGGGUGAGAGUGAGAACUGCACUGGGAUGGGCUCCCACCUGGUGGUGAUCAAUACAGAAGCAGAGCAGGUUCUGGAAACCUGGGGAACCCAAUUUACUCUUUGCAGAAAAAUGUGUUGCAAUUCAUGUGAAGGGAAAUACAGACUCCAACACUUACAGUAACUGGAACAACAUCCUUUGCUUCACAAUUUGCUUUAGAAUUUGUGAACUGGCAGCCAAAUAUGUCUGAGGAAAGAAACUCCACUCUGGAUGAGGGACCUGGAGGAGCACCCUUGUGAUGGGGCAGCUUAUGAGGAGCUGAUGGAAAGGCUGGACUGAACCCUCACAAAUGUCUUGUCUUGCACUGUCAUGGGAUUCCAGCUCUGAAGAACCUCAGUUCCCUACCUCUCCUCCUAAAUUUUUUUCCAAGCUGAAGACCAGCCCUGGACAGAAGCCCUCAGGCUGAUGUCAAGGAUCUAUUGGGCCCCUUCCCACCCUCCUCCUUCAGACACAGUGCACCGAGUCUUCAGUACUUUCUUUGACUCUGUCUAAUUGUUGUCUAAAUGAUGCAGAAAAGGCCCUCUCUCUGCUUCGUGGAUGGAGACUGGUCCUACAAAUCACUGGAGCAGAGUUUGAAAGAAGAGCAUUCAAUGGAGAGUCCUCCUAAAGGGAAUUGCUUAUUCAUGUCCUAUCUCUAAGGCUUCCUCCUUCCUUCAUUUCAGACUUUGCUCCUUGUGGAUAACUGGCAACCUUCAGCAUGUUCUGUGUUGAUAAAAAAAAAAUAAACCAGUAAAUGUUGAUCCUGUUCUUUCCUUG